GACAUAUGGUACAGGAGACCUUCUAUCUACCAUAAUGAUAUAUGGUACAGGAAGACAAGACCUUCUAUCUACCAUAAUGAUAUAUGGACGAGGAAGACAAGACCUUCUAUCUACCAUAAUGAUAUAUGGUACAGGAGACCUUCUAUCUACCAUAAUGAUAUAUGGUACAGGAAGACAAGACCUUCUAUCUACCAUAAUGAUAUAUGGAACAGGAAGACAAGACCUUCUAUCUACCAUAAUGACAUAUGGAACAGGAAGACAAGACCUUCUAUCUACCAUAAUGAUAUAUGGUACAGGAUACCUUCUAUCUACCAUAAUGAUAUAUGGAACAGGAAGACAAGACCUUCUAUCUACCAUAAUGAUAUAUGGAACAGGAAGACAAGACCUUCUAUCUACCAUAAUGAUAUAUGGAACAGGAGACCUUCUAUCUACCAUAAUGAUAUAUGGUACAGGAGACCUUCUAUCUACCAUAAUGAUAUAUGGUACAGGAAGACAAGACCUUCUAUCUACCAUAAUGAUAUAUGGAACAGGAGACCUUCUAUCUACCAUAAUGACAUAUGGAACAGGAGACCUUCUAUCUACCAUAAUGACAUAUGGUACAGGAAGACAAGACCUUCUAUCUACCAUAAUGAUAUAUGGAAGAGGAAGACAAGACCUUCUAUCUACCAUAAUGAUAUAUGGUACAGGAAGACAAGGGGAACAUGUUUUUACAGGUCACUAAAAUGACCAUUAGUAAACAGCUGAUUGAUUAAUGGAGCUUUCUGUACACCCUCAGGACUAUAGACACAGAAAAUUACCCUACACACACACACACACACACACACACACACUGUUCUACUGUACUAUUUUUAUCAUCAGCCGUAGAUCACGAUGUUCUCUUACUGUCACUGUCACAGUAACUAACUAAUGGAGGUCCCUCUCUCCCAGAGCAAAUAACAUUACCACAGUAGGGAAUAGUAGGGACUAGUCAUUCAUAUGGCAACUCAAUGUGUAGACACAGAGAGAC
rnacentral:lncRNA from 1 species